GAAGGUGGGAGGGAGGUCCCCAGUUGUCUGGUGAAGGGUAGGGACAGUCACAUGUGCCAUGCAGCCUCUGUCGGCACCUAAACUUGGCCUGGGGGGUGGCCUCCCACAGUGCUGGCAACACAGGUGUCAGACAACCAGGAACACUUUAUUUGUGAGAAACAGGCAUUACUGAAAAGCUUGAAAAACAGGAAGGAGCUGAAGCUCCCAGACUCCCUGUUCGUGCACCUCCUUGGUAUAAGUGACAUUUUCUCCUGCUGAAACACUAAAACUGACAGUGUCAGCAGCUCUGGAGCUGGGGAUGAGACUUGCCAAUUGUGUCAGAAGCAAAAGUCCCUUCUCUGCAUAUCCAAAGUGACCUGGUGUUUAAGCCAUUAACCAAUUUCAGUCUCUCACACCUGGAAAAGUUAAUACACAGCAGGACAUGCAGAGCUUACAAACCAGUAGGGCUAGCUAAUACUACAGACAAAAUAAAUUGAAAUACAGCAGCAAAACCAACUGUCUUCCAAACAAGGCAGAUGCUACAAAGUGUUGUUAAGGAAAGUUUCUUGUGCAAUCGUACAAACAAAGGUUUUAGGGUGGGUGGCAUGUUGUAUAGUACUCCUCUGGGUCAUAUAUCAUUAAAACUCCCAAAAGUCUGGGGAGAUGACAAAGUGGGAUUUGCACUUUCACUAGAGAAUUGCAGUCAUGAUAUUGUCCUCCUCACUUCUUUGGCAGAUGAUCAAUGCUGACAUUCCAGCAUCACUGAACUCUUUGAACCCAAAGACCUCAGCUAGGACUGGAAAAGGAUUGUAAAAGAUCUCUUGAACUUUUCCUUCAUAUUCUCAUCCACACACACUACCCUGUGAUUCUCAAAUAGGCAUAGCUUGUAAGAGAAAAAUAUGUGCUGGAUUGCUUGUACAGAGCAUUUGCUGCUGUAAUGCCACUUACUUGGAUGGAGAUAAAAUCCCAAUGAGCUGAGGCAGUGGUGGGAGUUGUAAUUUGAAACAGACAGCAACAGGACAGCACGAGAGUACAGUGGUCACAUUUCUUCCACAUAGAGGUAUCCUAGAAAAGCUGGUAGCCUGUGACGUGCUUGCUAGGGAAAAGAGGUAGAGAAGAGACUGAAUCCAGAUCUCAAAGCUGUUUUAGUUUUGAAGUAGGAUUUGCAAAUGCACUAGUAAGCUUACACAAGCUAGAAAAUAUAAAUGUAUAUGUGCCAUACAUGUUAUGGAGCUAGACUGCUCUGGUCUGUCAGCAGCUUGCUCUGACAUUUUUCUACCAGUGUUGACAGCUUAUGACAUACUGUACCAACACAAGGUACAUUAUUAAUAGCUUGAAAGAAAGAAAUGGUCAAAAAGA